GAGUUUGAUCCUGGCUCAGGAUGAACGCUGGCGGCGUGCCUAACACAUGCAAGUCGAACGGGGUAUAUAAGCGGAAGUUUACGGAUGGAAGGUUAUAUACUUAGUGGCGGACGGGUGAGUAACGCGUGGGCAACCUGCCCCGUGCCGGGGGAUACCGCCUGGGAACAGGCGCUAAUACCGCAUAAGCGCAUACAGCCGCAUGGGUGUAUGCGGAAAGCUCCGGCGGCACGGGAUGGGCCCGCGCCCGAUUAGCCAGUUGGCGGGGUAACGGCCCACCAAAGCGACGAUCGGUAGCCGGCCUGAGAGGGCGGACGGCCACAUUGGGACUGAGACACGGCCCAAACUCCUACGGGAGGCAGCAGUGGGGAAUAUUGCACAAUGGGGGAAACCCUGAUGCANCAACGCCGCGUGGGUGAAGGAGCGUUUCGGCGCGUAAAGCCCUGUCAGCGGGGAAGAAGAAAGACGGUACCCGACCAAGAAGCCCCUGCUAACU
rnacentral:rRNA from 1 species